rnacentral:misc_RNA from 1 species
CUUGUGCUGCCUACCCUUUCGGGGGAAGGAGGACACCUUGAUGGUUUGCCUCCAUCCUGCGCCUUGCAAUGGGCGCAGGGGGAGAAUGAAGCACCCCCCGGGUUCCCACCGAGCCUUGAUCGGUCAAGUGGCCCUCGGGGUCGUGCAAUGCUCUCGGACGCAGCGCAUGUGGCGGGCGAGGACUCGUCCUCGUCCUAAGAGUAGCUUCAAUAUAAUGCAAGACGGCCGCCCUCGCCGGCCUGGCCGCUUAGGCGGUGCUGCGGCGGGGGCGACGUCGCUGAGGAUUGCUACCUGGUUGAUCCUGCCAGUAGU